AGUGAACGCUGGCGGUAGGCCUAACACAUGCAAGUCGAACGGCAGCACAGUAAGAGCUUGCUCUUACGGGUGGCGAGUGGCGGACGGGUGAGGAAUACAUCGGAAUCUACUUUUUCGUGGGGGAUAACGUAGGGAAACUUACGCUAAUACCGCAUAUGACCUACGGGUGAAAGCAGGGGAUCUUCGGACUUUGCGCGAUUGAAUGAGCCGAUGUCGGAUUAGCUAGUUGGCGGGGUAAAGGCCCACCAAGGCGACGAUCCGUAGCUGGUCUGAGAGGAUGAUCAGCCACACUGGAACUGAGACACGGUCCAGACUCCUACGGGAGGCAGCAGUGGGGAAUAUUGGGCAAUGGGCGCAAGCCUGAUCCAGCCAUACCGCGUGGGUGAAGAAGGCCUUCGGGUUGUAAAGCCCUUUUGUUGGGAAAGAAAAGCAGCAGGUUAAUACCCCGCUGUUCUGACGGUACCCAAAGAAUAAGCACCGGCUAACUUCGUG
rnacentral:rRNA from 1 species